CGGUGAAAUGCGUAGAUAUAUGGAAGUACACCAGUGGCGAAGGCGGGUGUCUGGUCUGUAACUGACGCUGAGGCUCGAAAGUAUGGGUAGCAAACAGGAUUAGAUACCCUGGUAGUCCAUACCGUAAACGAUGAAUGCUAAGUGUUGGAGGGUUUCCGCCCUUCAGUGCUGCAGCUAACGCAUUAUGCAUUCCAUCUGGGGAGUACGGCCUCAAGGCUGAAACUCAAAGGAAUUGACGGGGCCCGCACAAGCGGUGGAGCAUGUGGUUUAAUCCGAGCUACGCGAAGAUCCUUACCAGGUCUUGACAUACUAUGCAAAUCUAAGAGAUUAGUCGUUCCCUUCGGGGACAUGGAUACAGGUGGUGCAUGGUUGUCGUCAGCUCGUGCCGUGAGAUGUUGGCUUAUGUCCCGCAUCGAGCGCAACCCUUAUUAUCAGUUGCCAGCAUUAAGUUGGCCACUCUGGUGAGACUGCCGGUGACAAACCGGAGGAAGGUGGGGAUGACGUCAAAUCAUCAUGCCCCUUAUGACCUGGGCUACACACGUGCUACAAUGGAUGGUACAACGAGUUGCGAACUCGCGAGAGUAAGCUAAUCUCUUAAAGCCAUUCUCAGUUCGGAUUGUAGGCUGCAACUCGCCUACAUGAAGUCGGAAUCGCUAGUAAUCGCGGAUCAGCAUGCCGCGGUGAAUACGUCCCCGGGCCUUGUACACACCGCCCGUCACACCAUGAGAGUUUGUAACACC
rnacentral:rRNA from 2 species